AUUGAACGCUGGCGGCAUGCCUUACACACGCAAGUCGAACGGUAACAGGUCUUCGGAUGCUGACGAGUGGCGAACGGGUGAGUAAUACAUCGGAACGUGCCUAGUAGUGGGGGAUAACUACUCGAAAGAGUGGCUAAUACCUCAUGAGAUCUACGGAUGAAAGCAUGGGAUCGCAAGACCUUGUGCUACUAGAGCGGCCGAUGGCUGAUUAGGUAGUUGGUGGGAUAAAAGCUUACCAAGCCGACGAUCUGUAGCUGGUCUGAGAGGACGAUCAGCCACACUGGGACUGGGACGCGGCCCAGACUCCUACGGGAGGCAGCAGUGGGGAAUUUUGGACAAUGGGCGCAAGCCUGAUCCAGCAAUGCCGCGUGCAGGAUGAAGGCCUUCGGGUUGUAAACUGCUUUUGUACGGAACGAAAAGCCCUGGGUUAAUACCCUGGGGUCAUGACGGUACCGUAAGAAUAAGCACCGGCUAACUACGUGCCAGCAGCCGCCGUAAGAC
rnacentral:rRNA from 1 species